rnacentral:lncRNA from 1 species
CUUGUAGGUUCCGAGGGUGGCUUCAGAGUUGGCCUUGCACCUCACAUACAACGCCUCUUGAGCUGCCUUGACAUUCUCCUCUUUGCCUGCCCAUGUCUUCAAGGUAGACUGCUGCAACGCACGUCCGAAUGAGAAAGACAAUGACCAUGGCUUCUUGGUCUUCAACUGGUUCAUGGCGUUCAAGUUCCUUGUAGCUUCUUCCUCGCUCUGUCCACCGGAUAAGAAGACAAUGGCUGGAACAGCAGCUGGGACGGUUCUCUGAAGGGCACGGACGGUGUGCUCAGCAAUGACUUCAGGUGAAACCUUGGGGCUGUCUGAUCCGGGAGUCACCAUGUUAGGCUUCAAGAGGGUACCCUCGAGCAAGACAUGGUGGUCGCUAAGGGCCUUGUAGCAAGCUGCAAGAACACGCUCAGUCACAGCAGCACACUUCUGGAUGUCAUGGGAUCCAUCAACUAGGAUCUCAGGCUCAACAAUGGGUACAAGACCGUUCUCUUGGCAGAUAACAGCGUAUCUAGCUAAUCCGUAAGCGUUCUCAUGGAUGGAUAGCUCAGAUGGCUCGUUCUCACCGAUCUUGAGGACUGCACGCCACUUGGCGAAACGAGCACCAGCUUCGUAGUACUUCUUGCAUCGGUCACCAAGACCGUCAAGACCUUGAGUGGUGGUCUCACCGUUAGUUCCAGCUAGCUCAACGGUACCCUUGUCAACCUUGAUACCGGGAAGAACUCCUCCUUCCUUCAAGAUAUCAACAAAAAGCUUGCCUAUACAAAGAAAACAGCAUCAUCAAUAAGAAACAGUCACAAACCACAAACAGAGUAAAACAUUAAGUAAAAGAAUUAAUCGAAUACAUACCAUCGGAACUCUUUUGGUAAAGAGUCUCUUCGAAGAGGAUGACACCACUAAGGCAAGGGAGAGCACCAGGGGCGGUGAAGAGAAGCUCACGGAGGUUACGUCUGUUGGUCUCAACGUUCUCAACGUUGAUGCUCGCAAGACGCUUUCCGAUGGUACCGGUGGACUCAUCAGCGGCCAAAAUACCUUUUCCAGGUGUGCCGAUGUAGGCAGCGUUGGCAAUCAACUCAUCUGCGUACGUUUAAAAACGAAUAUACAAAUCAACAGAGAAAACUUCAGAUCGUGAAUACUGAUUAGAUCCGUACUAAAACCGAUGAGAACAGAAUCAGAUCUAGGCUAGUUUUUGUCAUAGAAAUCAUCGACAGAUCAAAUUCAGCUCUCUGAACAAGCUAAGUUAUAGAAUCAACCAGAUCUAGGCGAUUAAACACGCUAAUAAGAAGCAAAACAAGAGAUCUUACGACUACGAAUCGAAUCCAAUAAAAGAAUCUAAACACCUAGAGGAUAAACAGAUUCGAGGGAGAGAUCGAGAUCUUACCGGCGAAUUUGCUGGUGAAGGCAGACAUGUUUAGACGGAGAGAUCGAGA